rfam:Stegodyphus mimosarum contig29681, whole genome shotgun sequence.
GCGUUGGUGGUAUAACGGUUAGCAUAGCUGCCUUCCAAGCAGUUGACGCAGGUUCGGCUCCCGGCCGAAGCA